rnacentral:rRNA from 1 species
CCCUUAGAUGUUCUGGGCUGCACGCGCGCUACACUGAUGCGCUCAACGAGUUUAUGACCUUGCCCGGAAGGGUUGGGUAAUCUUCUUAAAACGCAUCGUGAUGGGGAUAGAUUAUUGCAAUUAUUAAUCUUCAACGAGGAAUGCCUAGUAAGCGCAAGUCAUCAGCUUGCGUUGAUUACGUCCCUGCCCUUUGUACACACCGCCCGUCGCUCCUACCGAUUGAAUGGUCCGGUGAAGCGUUCGGACCGUGGCCUUUGGACGGUUCGCCGUCUGUUGGCUGCGGGAAGUUCGUUAAACCUUAUCAUUUAGAGGAAGGAGAAGUCGUAACA